GAGUGUAAAUUUACAUUUUCACCCCUGUAGUUUAAUCAUUCUAUUUUUUUUUUCAUUUUCUUUAACCAAUUUACUAUUCUAUCCCUUAACUUUAAUAAAGUUAUACAUCCCCUAAACUUCAAUAUAGUUGUCGGUAUUACGUCACGUGAGUCACUUGUUAGAAAUUCGUGUUUUAGUUUUACAUUGUUUCCCGCUUUUGGUCGUCGUUCGGUUAGCACCGUUUUACAACGCUAGCACCUCAGGUAUUACGUCACGUGAGUCACUUGGUAUUAGAACCUCCUAAAGCGUUGUAAUAUGAAUACUUGGAUUAUGAUUGCAAUAUAUUGUUUUUUUUUUUAAUUGUAAUCAUAAUUAUGCAUUAAUUCUUUAUUAAGUUUUAAAAAGGGUUUUGCAAGUCAACCCGAACCCGCCUGAUUCAAUACGUACUAAAGGAUGACUCCUUUUCAACCCUAGCUCAUUUUGACAUGUUACCCAACCGGCUGAUCCGCCCAUCUUUCCUCCUUUAAUUGCAACUUAUUAUAUAAAGAAGCAUAAGCCUUGUCCAAUUUGGUGACCUUAAGGACGCAACAAUAAUCUUGCAAAUAUUAAAAAAAAAAUAGAAUAUAAGCUAACCUGACAACGACAAGCAACACGAGGACCAACUUGUCCUGUUUCAUCUGCAGAAACAACCAGGUUACCUCGCUCCUGAUUCUCCCACCAUUCUUUGUCAAUAGGGUUCACACCAGUGAACGAUUCUUGCUCAAGAUUUACAGCAUGUCGUUCAUCCACGAAAUCUCUCAUCGGCAUAUCUGGAACCAAAGGUUCAACUUUGGAUUUCCUGAAAGAAAAAGAAGUCCUACUUGGUUGACCAUGAUAAUCGUUUGACCCGUUAGUAUUCAAUUGUCCAUUAGAAGCAUCCACUCCAUCAGCUUCUUGCGGGAUUAGCAAUGGGAUGUCUUCAGAAGAUGCAGAGGAAGAAGAAUUUCUUCUGUUGAUUACUUUAUGAGCGUCGUCCAUAACUGUUGAAUUUUCAUCCUCUACUAUAUUGUUGCCCAUGUAAUGUGGGAUAACCAUGUGUUGUUGAGGCAUAAGUAGCGGAAUACCUUGUUCGUUGGGAGCUUUGUUUCUCUGAAAAAGAAUAUAAAUAUUAGAUUUCGAGUAAAAUGUCAUUUUCGUCCCUGAGCUGUCAAUUUGAGGUAAAAGCAGAAACCUUUGCAUAGUUCCAACGCUGGACAAAGUGUCGAGCAACAUCACGACAUGGUGGGCCCCAUAAUGCACAAUGGACAUCAUGCCAUGGCAUACGAGGAUACUUUUUACGGUCCAGCUCAUCCUUCAUUGUAUCUUCCCACGAGUUUGGUUCAGAUUCCCUAUAACAAUGGGAUCAAUAUUCAGUGAUUCCCCAUGUCAUGACUUCAUUUAAUGAUAUGGUCCAUACUCUUAUUCAUGCAGGAAGUCUUAGAUACAAAAUGGUAGUUUGUUCAGCUAAGGAACUUGAACUACGAUGAUGCAGACAAUGAAAAAAUAGGAAGUUGGAACAACCUAUCAUGAGUGCAUAUUCUACUUACAAAAACAAGAUAGAAUAUUGUAACUAUCAGACAUAUUAC
rnacentral:lncRNA from 1 species